ensembl:lncRNA
GGCAUUUAGCACCCAGGAGCAACUUUUGAGGGGUCUGUGAUGUACCUGCCAGAAGAGUUUCAGGCUUUGAUAUUGAAAGUUCAGUAUCGGGCCUUUGGGUAUCUUAAAGGCCACUUAACAAAUAUAAGUGCAAUGUUAAUUUUCCAUUAACUUUUUUUUUUUUUUUGGACAACUGUUGUAGUGAGGUGUUAAUAACUAUAUAACAACCCACUAUUGACAAUUUGCAUUCCACAAUAAAAAAGUCAUUGUUGCUUCGGCAGCGGUCCCCAACCUUUUUUGUGCCACCGACCAGUUUAUGUCUGACAAUAUUUUCACGGAUCGGUCUUUAAGGUAUCGCGGAUAAAUACAACGAAAUAAAACCAGUACUGGUUCCAGAAAAAGAAGAUUUGUUUAUAACACAUUGGAAAAGACUCAGGGAAACCAAGUUAACGAUAAAAACGACAAAAAAUAACGAUAAAAAAUGAUUAAAAUCCUGAAAUCCAUAAAUUUCACACCCGAGCCUCAACUCUCAUGGCUCGGUACCAAAUGACUCAUGGACCGGUACUGGUCCUUGGCCCGGGGGUUGGGAACCGCUGCAGUAAAUUACAGCCUUCAACUUAUAGCUUUAUGUCUGUACCAGCAGAUAACACAACCCAGGGAUGUGUCGUGCACCUCAGGUGAAGCUGACAAGCUGCUGAAGUACCUUUGUAUCUCAAAGUCUGUAUCUUUAGUCCACUAAAUAGCAAGGAAACAAAAAAAACAAAAAACAGUUCUCCUCGCCCAAAAAACAAGCAAACCAAAAAGCCCCACCGCAAAUUCUCCAAUUCAGAAGCACUUCAGAGAUGACAUCCAAUCAACAAAUAAAACCUUGAAGGUGAUUAAUACUUUUUACCUCCUUUUUUAUAAUAAAUCAAAACACACCUGUGAUCUUCCUUUAGUCGUCACUGAGUCUUAGCCUCCUCCUUUCCCACAGGAAAGCUCUGUCAUGGUGAGAGUGCCACAGACGGGUGUCAAGACCUUUGAUGUUUCUGAAGUUGACAGGUGAGUCCCAGGGCAUUGUCACUUCUCUCACACUGUUAUCUCUGUGCAGAUAACAGCAGGAUCUGUUAGCAGGUGCCAUUCCAAGGUGUGUGGGAAGAACCUGAACUGGGUUGGCAAACUGCAGAUGACACUUGAGCUAAAAGGUGAUGACUGACAGGAGACAGAUGGGUGCUACAGUCUGUCACAGUUUCAAUCUGCAAGGAAUUUCUAGGGAAACGUUACAGUCAUCGCUUGUUCACUUCUACGUUAUGUUUUGUUACUCUUGUUUCUUGUUUAGGUGUCUGUCUGGUGUCUCUCUGUGCCAAUUAGUCAUGCCUCCACGUUUGUUUACCUUUUUGUCUUUGUCAAGCCUGUGCAUCUCAGUCCUGGUCUUUGUAUUAGUUAUGUUUCCUGUUUUAUUGUGAUAGUCGUUUGCCUAGUGUGCAUUAUGUUGAGUUUAUCAGUUCAAUAAAGGGCUUGCAUUUAGUUA